GACGUAGGAGGCGAGCGUUGUCCGGAUUCAUUGGGCGUAAAGAGCUCGUAGGCGGCUUGUCACGUCGGGUGUGAAAGCCCGGGGCUUAACCCCGGGUCUGCAUUCGAUACGGGCUAGCUAGAGUGUGGUAGGGGAGAUCGGAAUUCCUGGUGUAGCGGUGAAAUGCGCAGAUAUCAGGAGGAACACCGGUGGCGAAGGCGGAUCUCUGGGCCAUUACUGACGCUGAGGAGCGAAAGCGUGGGGAGCGAACAGG
rnacentral:rRNA from 1 species